rnacentral:rRNA from 1 species
AACACGUGGGUAACCUACCUAUAAGACUGGGAUAACUUCGGGAAACCGGAGCUAAUACCGGAUAACAUUUAGAACCGCAUGGUUCUAAAGUGAAAGAUGGUUUUGCUAUCACUUAUAGAUGGACCCGCGCCGUAUUAGCUAGUUGGUAAGGUAACGGCUUACCAAGGCGACGAUACGUAGCCGACCUGAGAGGGUGAUCGGCCACACUGGAACUGAGACACGGUCCAGACUCCUACGGGAGGCAGCAGUAGGGAAUCUUCCGCAAUGGGCGAAAGCCUGACGGAGCAACGCCGCGUGAGUGAUGAAGGGUUUCGGCUCGUAAAACUCUGUUAUUAGGGAAGAACAAAUGUGUAAGUAACUGUGCACAUCUUGACGGUACCUAAUCAGAAAGCCACGGCUAACUACGUGCCAGCAGCCGCGGUAAUACGUAGGUGGCAAGCGUUAUCCGGAAUUAUUGGGCGUAAAGCGCGCGUAGGCGGUUUCUUAAGUCUGAUGUGAAAGCCCACGGCUCAACCGUGGA